rnacentral:rRNA from 1 species
GGUUAAGCGACUAAGCGUACACGGUGGAUGCCCUGGCAGUCAGAGGCGAUGAAGGACGUGCUAAUCUGCGAUAAGCGUCGGUAAGGUGAUAUGAACCGUUAUAACCGGCGAUUUCCGAAUGGGGAAACCCAGUGUGUUUCGACACACUAUCAUUAACUGAAUCCAUAGGUUAAUGAGGCGAACCGGGGGAACUGAAACAUCUAAGUACCCCGAGGAAAAGAAAUCAACCGAGAUUCCCCCAGUAGCGGCGAGCGAACGGGGAGCAGCCCAGAGCCUGAAUCAGUGUGUGUGUUAGUGGAAGCGUCUGGAAAGGCGCGCGAUACAGGGUGACAGCCCCGUACACAAAAAUGCACAUGCUGUGAGCUCGAUGAGUAGGGCGGGACACGUGGUAUCCUGUCUGAAUAUGGGGGGACCAUCCUCCAAGGCUAAAUACUCCUGACUGACCGAUAGUGAACCAGUACCGUGAGGGAAAGGCGAAAAGAACCCCGGCGAGGGGAGUGAAAAAGAACCUGAAACCGUGUACGUACAAGCAGUGGGAGCACGCUUAGGCGUGUGACUGCGUACCUUUUGUAUAAUGGGUCAGCGACUUAUAUUCUGUAGCAAGGUUAACCGAAUAGGGGAGCCGAAGGGAAACCGAGUCUUAACUGGGCGUUAAGUUGCAGGGUAUAGACCCGAAACCCGGUGAUCUAGCCAUGGGCAGGUUGAAGGUUGGGUAACACUAACUGGAGGACCGAACCGACUAAUGUUGAAAAAUUAGCGGAUGACUUGUGGCUGGGGGUGAAAGGCCAAUCAAACCGGGAGAUAGCUGGUUCUCCCCGAAAGCUAUUUAGGUAGCGCCUCGUGAAUUCAUCUCCGGGGGUAGAGCACUGUUUCGGCAAGGGGGUCAUCCCGACUUACCAACCCGAUGCAAACUGCGAAUACCGGAGAAUGUUAUCACGGGAGACACACGGCGGGUGCUAACGUCCGUCGUGAAGAGGGAAACAACCCAGACCGCCAGCUAAGGUCCCAAAGUCAUGGUUAAGUGGGAAACGAUGUGGGAAGGCCCAGACAGCCAGGAUGUUGGCUUAGAAGCAGCCAUCAUUUAAAGAAAGCGUAAUAGCUCACUGGUCGAGUCGGCCUGCGCGGAAGAUGUAACGGGGCUAAACCAUGCACCGAAGCUGCGGCAGCGACGCUUAUGCGUUGUUGGGUAGGGGAGCGUUCUGUAAGCCUGUGAAGGUGUGUUGUGAGGCAUGCUGGAGGUAUCAGAAGUGCGAAUGCUGACAUAAGUAACGAUAAAGCGGGUGAAAAGCCCGCUCGCCGGAAGACCAAGGGUUCCUGUCCAACGUUAAUCGGGGCAGGGUGAGUCGACCCCUAAGGCGAGGCCGAAAGGCGUAGUCGAUGGGAAACAGGUUAAUAUUCCUGUACUUGGUGUUACUGCGAAGGGGGGACGGAGAAGGCUAUGUUGGCCGGGCGACGGUUGUCCCGGUUUAAGCGUGUAGGCUGGUUUUCCAGGCAAAUCCGGAAAAUCAAGGCUGAGGCGUGAUGACGAGGCACUACGGUGCUGAAGCAACAAAUGCCCUGCUUCCAGGAAAAGCCUCUAAGCAUCAGGUAACAUCAAAUCGUACCCCAAACCGACACAGGUGGUCAGGUAGAGAAUACCAAGGCGCUUGAGAGAACUCGGGUGAAGGAACUAGGCAAAAUGGUGCCGUAACUUCGGGAGAAGGCACGCUGAUAUGUAGGUGAAGUCCCUCGCGGAUGGAGCUGAAAUCAGUCGAAGAUACCAGCUGGCUGCAACUGUUUAUUAAAAACACAGCACUGUGCAAACACGAAAGUGGACGUAUACGGUGUGACGCCUGCCCGGUGCCGGAAGGUUAAUUGAUGGGGUCAGCGCAAGCGAAGCUCUUGAUCGAAGCCCCGGUAAACGGCGGCCGUAACUAUAACGGUCCUAAGGUAGCGAAAUUCCUUGUCGGGUAAGUUCCGACCUGCACGAAUGGCGUAAUGAUGGCCAGGCUGUCUCCACCCGAGACUCAGUGAAAUUGAACUCGCUGUGAAGAUGCAGUGUACCCGCGGCAAGACGGAAAGACCCCGUGAACCUUUACUAUAGCUUGACACUGAACAUUGAGCCUUGAUGUGUAGGAUAGGUGGGAGGCUUAGAAGUGUGGACGCCAGUCUGCAUGGAGCCGACCUUGAAAUACCACCCUUUAAUGUUUGAUGUUCUAACGUUGACCCGUAAUCCGGGUUGCGGACAGUGUCUGGUGGGUAGUUUGACUGGGGCGGUCUCCUCCUAAAGAGUAACGGAGGAGCACGAAGGUUGGCUAAUCCUGGUCGGACAUCAGGAGGUUAGUGCAAUGGCAUAAGCCAGCUUGACUGCGAGCGUGACGGCGCGAGCAGGUGCGAAAGCAGGUCAUAGUGAUCCGGUGGUUCUGAAUGGAAGGGCCAUCGCUCAACGGAUAAAAGGUACUCCGGGGAUAACAGGCUGAUACCGCCCAAGAGUUCAUAUCGACGGCGGUGUUUGGCACCUCGAUGUCGGCUCAUCACAUCCUGGGGCUGAAGUAGGUCCCAAGGGUAUGGCUGUUCGCCAUUUAAAGUGGUACGCGAGCUGGGUUUAGAACGUCGUGAGACAGUUCGGUCCCUAUCUGCCGUGGGCGCUGGAGAACUGAGGGGGGCUGCUCCUAGUACGAGAGGACCGGAGUGGACGCAUCACUGGUGUUCGGGUUGUCAUGCCAAUGGCACUGCCCGGUAGCUAAAUGCGGAAGAGAUAAGUGCUGAAAGCAUCUAAGCACGAAACUUGCCCCGAGAUGAGUUCUCCCUGACCCUUUAAGGGUCCUGAAGGAACGUUGAAGACGACGACGUUGAUAGGCCGGGUGUGUAAGCGCAGCGAUGCGUUGAGCUAACCGGUACUAAUGAACCGUGAGGCUUAACCUU